GGCGCGUUCGUCUAUGGGAAGGACACCGGGUUUUCACCCCGGGCGGCACGGGUUCGAAUCCCGUACGCGCUACCU
rnacentral:tRNA from 1 species